GACGAACGCUGGCGGCGUGCUUAACACAUGCAAGUCGAACGGAAAGGCCCUGCUUUUGUGGGGUUCUCGAGUGGCGAACGGGUGAGUAACACGUGAGUAACCUGCCCUUGACUUUGGGAUAACUUCAGGAAACUGGGGCUAAUACCGGAUAGGAGCUCCUGCUGCAUGGUGGGGGUUGGAAAGUUUCGGCGGUUGGGGAUGGACUCGCGGCUUAUCAGCUUGUUGGUGGGGUAGUGGCUUACCAAGGCUUUGACGGGUAGCCGGCCUGAGAGGGUGACCGGCCACAUUGGGACUGAGAUACGGACCAGACUGCUACGGGAGGCAGCAGUGGGGAAUAUUGCACAAUGGGCGGAAGCCUGAUGCAGAAACGCCGCGUGCGGGAUGACGGCCUUCGGGUUGUAAACCGCUUUCGCCUGUGACGAAGCGGGAGUGACGGUAAUGGGUAAAGAAGCACCGGCUAACUACGUG
rnacentral:rRNA from 1 species